CUCUCCUAUAAUCUCACUCUGUCGCGGCUAGCAAAAGGGUUGAAAUUCAUCUCAGUCGCGGCUGGGUUCGUUUGUGGUUUCUUGGAUUCAUUUCUUCGUAAGCAAAAAGUUGGUUCUUUGUUAUUUAUUUAAUUCAUCAAAAGUUUGCAACUUUUUUGUUAUUGAUGCAUUUAGGUACCUUUUUUGACUUGAUUUGUAUUAAUUAAUUAUGUUUUAGUUUGUGGUUGUGGGGUUGUGUUAAUAAAAAGGUGGUAAUGGACUUGAUUUGUAUUAAUUAAUUAUGUUUUUGUUCUGUGCCAGCUUCUUGCAUGCUUUUUCCAAUUAAUCGGAGGGCCAGAUAAAAUCCAGUACCCUCUAAUUCAUGAUUAAUAAUGUUCUUGUUAAGAAUUUAAAAUUAAUGUCCUGUAAUUUUCUUGAUUAAUAAUGUCUCUUGAAAAUCCUAAUCUUAUGAAUUCUUGAUUAAUAAUGUCCUGUAAUUUUCUUUCAUUUUAAACAUUGUUCUCUUCAUAUAGAUUAACGAAAUUCAGUUAGGAUACUGUGAUUGUGUUACCAAUUUAAUUAGACUGUGUUUGUAAUUUUUGUAGAGUGAAAAAUUGAUAUGGAAAAUGAACAAAGAAUCGACUUGGAUGCCUCUGAAAUUAUUUGGUGUAUUAUUCUUAUUAUCAAUUUAUCACUAAUUGGUUGUGUUGCUCAUUAUGUUUAUGAUUUACACAUUUUUUGUAGAUGGAAUUCCAGAGGAAGCAAUACUUUCUGCAGAGCAUUUGAUUGAUGAAAGUUGGAUGAGUGAGCAACAGUCAAAUGAAGUGGAUGAUUCAGAGUUUAAUCUUUAGCACUAGUGGCUGGAAAUUUGAGCUUUAAAUUGUGGAAUUAUGUUAUGGAUUUGUAUAUGUGGAUGUUUAUUACUUUAAAACUUUUGAGUGUGUUGUAUUUGUUUUAGAACUUGGAUGUGUUAUAUGUUUUGUUUUUUUGCCCUUUGUCCAGUAAAUUUUGUUGAACCAAAGUGAAGUAACUUGGUUCUGGUAGUCUGGUUCUGGAUGUGAUAUAUGUUCUUUUUUUUUGCUUUUUAUCCAGCAAAUUUUGUUGAACCAAUUCUAGGAAGAAUAUUGUAAUGUGUUUUAUCGUAAUGUGUUUUUUCAUGUAAUACAUUAAAACAUUAAAACA
rnacentral:lncRNA from 1 species